AUACGGAGGGUGCAAGCGUUACUCGGAAUCACUGGGCGUAAAGCGCGCGCAGGCGGCUUGGUAAGUUGGAUGUGAAAGCCUACGGCUCAACCGUAGAACUGCAUCCAAAACUGUCAAGCUAGAGUGUGGGAGAGGGAGAUGGAAUUAGUUGUGUAGGGGUAAAAUCCGUAGAGAUAACUAGGAAUACCAAAAGCGAAGGCAAUCUUCUGGAACACUACUGACGCUGAGGCGCGAAAGCGUGGGGAGCAAACAGGAUUAGAAACCCUAGUAGUCC
rnacentral:rRNA from 1 species